AACAGGUGUCCUUUUAUCAGAGCCCCCAGUGACCAUGGAAGGGUGGAGUGAUGGGUCUGGUAUCUGCCCAUCUCCAGCUAACACUGAAACCCCUUCCUGGAUUCCCCGGUACAGGAGGCGCUGGCUGUCAGUCCCCUGGUGGGGACACGGGGGCAUGGCCACUAGGUAACUCGAGGAGGUGGAAGACUACGAGUGUCGAUGAAGUCCCCUCGCACUCGGCCCAAGUGUCCUUGAUCCUCCCUCGCGCCUGGAGGCACUCGCAGCAGGCCUGCUGAGGAUCUGCAACAAUAUGUUGCAGAGUCAGACUGCCUGAAACUAAACAAGGCCAAACAGGGCAGAUAUGGAAGAACAAUGCCGAAUAAAGCAGCUUUAUGUAUGGUUUAACAAAUGAUACAGAGAACAAGGGAACUAGCUGGGAACUGGAUUGGCUGGCUAUAUGGCUACUUAGGGCAGCUUGCUAUUGGAUAAGUAUGCUGAAGAAAGGAUGUAUAAAAGCCUGUGUAACUUCCUGCUCUGUGUGCAGGAUUUGAGAUUCUAAUCUCCCUGUACCUUGUUUGCAGCUGCAAAUAAACUUUUCUGCUUCUCCUCCCCGUUGUGAUUAUUGGGAGACGCACACCGGGCAACGAACCCCUGCUGUUGUUCACCUCUGGCACUGGGUGCCGUCAACAGCUUUUGGCAUCCCUGGGUGGGCGACGAGGCUGCUAUUUAGCCUUGCCCGGACCCCUCCUGGAGGUCGAGGAUGGCGGCGAGAACCGACGCCCUGCGCACACCGGUGAGUUCAUCGGGGGCCUCGGAGGAGACGUGAUUUGAUCGACCCCGGAGCGCACAAUGGUGCAACGCACUCAUAUAGUGGAGAAGCAGCUGUGGGUGACGGUGAGGAACCGGUCCCUUGGAUAAGGGGAGGAGCAGCUGCGGGCGACGGUGGGGAACCGGUCCCUUGGAUAAGAUAUACCAAGGAUUCCCAGCCUCUCCCCUUGGACUCUCCCGUCCACUCCUUACAGCCCGGUGACUCCGUGCUUGUUCGUACCUGGAAAGACGAGCCUCUCCAGGAAAAGUGGAAAGGACCCUAUACCAUCCUGCUGAUCUCCCAUACAGCGGUAAAGGUUGAGGAACACAAGAACUGGAUCCAUCACUCUCGUCUGAAGGCAGUACCCGCCCCCUCGUCAGCAGAACAGUGGACCAUCCAACCUGCUGACUCCUCAUCUAGUGACGAUCUCGGGCUAAAGCUACUGUUUAAGACACACAAAUAGCGGACCCCUUAACGCCAAAAUGGGCCCACCCAGGUACUGGAGACCCUGGGUUGGGAAGACUCUGGUGAUAAUUAAUUGGGUAACAUUGUUAUUCUCUGUAUUGGUAUUUCCAAACUGUGCGUAUCGGGAGCAUAACUCCUUUGUUUUGCUUGCGCACCAUGUUGCUACUUUAACAAACCAGACUGAUUGCUGGGUAUGUGCUCCAACUCCACUGUCCCCCAAAACGGGAAUGCCCCUUGACAUGCUGCCCCUGACCCUAGCAGAAUUAGCUGCCACCAAAGAGCAGGAAAGAACGGACUCGCCAUUCUGGAAGAAGACCUCUUUACAGCAAGCCACCUAUCAGGACCAGGAGUAUUCAGUUGCAGUACUCACUGAGGGAGUGUUAUGUUUUACCCGAAACCAAUCUGAUCACUAUGGGCGUCCUGUGGGAAACAGCUCCUGUGUUAUUACACAGUGGGCUGAUGGGUAUUGGAUAAAGACCGAAAGGGGAGGCCAGCAGUGUGGGUGUAAUGGUUCCUCCCCUUUUAGGGAAACUCUUACAAAUAAUCUUACCACAAAAGAGGGGUUUGGAAAUAUAACUUGCCGUCCAGUUAAUAUCUCCAAUGUAGCAAGCCAAUGGUGGGUUUGCGGUCCCUAUGGCGAGUGUAAUAUGAACAGCACAAUUAGAAACACCCCCACUUGUACCCAAUCAGGAGGAUGGGAUGACCCCUUAGGGGCAUAUGAACUGUUUAGAAAAACAGCCUUAAAUAUCCCAGGAAUCCCCUUAAGAAACAGUCCUUACUGAGCCCUACACGGUCACUAUUUUGUAUGUGGCCGAAAGGCUUACAAGGUGCUGCCAGCCAACUGGACAGGUAGCUGUUAUAUAGCUCAUGGAGUUCCUCAUCUGUCAAUAACUGCCACACUGCCCAAAGGAAAGAUUAGAAAUGCCCGAAAUACCUCUGUUAAGUCCUGAGACAAGACCCUGCGGCCACUGACUACGGCAUUGGAGGGCAAUAUGAAGAAUCCCCUCACAACCGAGAAGCUUGUAGGGUGCUCUGUACUGGGAAUAGCACCACUGUUUACCGGACCAGCCAUGGCAUGCAUAGGCCGCUAUACUGUAAGGCUGCAAAUGGUACUUGAGAAAGUGGCCUUAGAGUUAGAGGACUCGGUUAGUGAUUUAGGGUCAGCAGUAAAAACAUUAAAUAAAGAGGUACAGCAGCUCAGGACGUUUUCCCUCCAAAACAGGCUGGCUUUGGACUAUCUCUUGGCAUCCCAAGGAGGGGUUUGUGCCCUCGUCGGGCCCCGAUGUUGUGUAUAUGUAAAUGAUAGCAGUUAUGAGAUCUAUGAAAAGGUGGUACAGGCUGAGGCCCAUGCCCGAGCCGGAGCACAGGUUGCCUAUACUGACCCCGAGAGCGAUUGGUUGCAAACCUUGUUUUCAGGCUGGGUUUGACGUCUUGGCUGGGUGGUUUAUUUAGCCUGUUAUUGAAACUUCUCUUUCCUGUAUUGCUUGUAUUACUGGUAUUAUGCUGUGCAGUAUCAUGUGUUAGGGCCCUUUUGCAAAAGUUAAUAAGUCAUUCUCUUCAGGGCUAUCACAAAGUGCUUAUGCAAAGUCCUAUUGUAAAGAAAUAAGGAGUCCAAGUGAGAAAACUCAGAGCCAAGGUUGUUGAGUGUUCUCAAAGGAGGGAGCUGUUGGGGACACUGGGGCAUGGCCACUAGGUAGCUCGAGGUGAUGGAAGACCACGAGUGUCAAUGAAGCCCCCUCGCACUAGGCCCAAGUGUCCUUGGCCCCCGUCCCGCCUGGAGGCACUCACAGCAGUUCUGCUGAGGAUCUGCAACAAUAUGUUGCAGAGUCAGACUGCCUGAAACUAAACAAGGCCAAACAGGGCAGAUAUGGAAGAACAAUGCCGAAUAAAGCAGCUUUAUGUAUGGUUUAACAGAUGGUACAGAGAACAAGGGAACUAGCUCGUAACUGGAUUGGCUGGCUAUAUGGCUACUUAGGGCAGCUUGCUAUUCGAUAAGUAUGCUGAAGAAAGGAUGUAUAAAAGCCUGUGUAACUUCCUGCUCUGUGUGCAGGAUUUGAGAUUCUAUUCUCCCUAUACCUUGUUUCCAGCUGCAAAUAAACUUUUCUGCUUCUCCA